UUGGUCGCUAGUGUAUUUACUUGUCUUGCAUCAUACACAACAGUGCACUAGUAUCGAUUGAAUUCAUGGUGUUCCAAAAAACGAAAACUUCAUUCGUAUCAACAGAUUAAUCAUAAAGGGAGGAACAAUUUGACGAAAAUAUCCACGUCCACGUGUAACAGAGGUUGCCCAGCGGAUGCACGUUGAGCCAUCGUAAAUUCCGUGAGGUUGGCACGUUCAGCUCGGUGCCAUCGCGAGUUUUUUCUACCGCGGGAUUCCAUCUACGAAGAACGAGAGGAAAUCUUCUUUUUCAAAGCGGACAUACCUAACCUAUAAACAUAACGCGUUGCAUAUAACCAGGUGCAAGUGCCUUACCAGAGAGGAAAUAAAGCCCUAGCCAUUGGGCACGCCUCUCCUUCUCGUUGGGUGCAGAGGUUAAACCGUCUAGAGGAAGAAGAAGAAGAAGAAGAUGAAUAGCAGAAGGAAGAAAAUUUCCAGUUACUGGAUUCUCGGUGUAUUCCACAUUUAAAAUCUGUGAAAUGAGAAAUCUCAAGAUCCUUUUCUAUCUCGGGGCAGUUUUAUUACGAUUACACGUAACAGAUAAGGGAAGCAAAAGUCAAAGCAGAGAAAGAUAACAAUAACGCGGAUGAACUCUGCCGAUAAGCUGAAUGCGACCUUGGUACCGAGUUAGGUUACGGCCUAGGCUGGUUCAAAGGUCAUGCGUUAUACCGAUACACCGAUGAUUGGCGGAAUGCGCCGUUUUACGACUGCCACUACGACCAGCUACGACGAGCGUUGAAUACGAGCAUGUGGCCGGCUGCGCAGCGUUCAUGGGAAGCAUCAUCGCUACGAUCUAACCUACCCUCGAAGGACAGAAAGAAAGAAAGGAAACAGCGCGCGUAAUUACCCGAAGCCAGUUAUAA